rnacentral:rRNA from 1 species
AUCAGAUACCGCCCUAGUUCUGACCGUAAACGAUGCCAACUAGCGAUCCGCCAGUCGACUCAUCGCUCUGGUGGGGAGCUUCCCGGAAACGAAAGUCUUCCGGUUCCGGGGGAAGUAUGGUUGCAAAGCUGAAACUUAAAGGAAUUGACGGAAGGGCACCACCAGGAGUGGAGCCUGCGGCUUAAUUUGACUCAACACGGGGAAACUCACCCGGCCCGGACACCGUAAGGAUUGACAGAUUGAUAGCUUUUUCAUGAUUCGGUGGAUGGUGGUGCAUGGCCGUUCUUAGUUCGUGGAGCGAUUUGUCUGGUUUAUUCCGAUAACGAGCGAGACUCUGGCCUACUAAAUAGUUGACGCAUUGCCACUGUGCGCACAACUUCUUAGAGGGAUUUUCGGUGUUUUCAACCGCACGAAAUUGAGCAAUAACAGGUCUGUGAUGCCCUUAGAUGUCCGGGGCUGCACGCGCGCUACACUGGCAAACGCAACGUGCCUGUCCUGCCCCGAAAGGAGCGGGUAAACCCCUGAAAUUUUGCCGUGAUUGGGAUCGGACAUUGCAACUAUUGUCCGUGAACGAGGAAUUCCUUGUAGGGGCGAGUCAUCAACUCGUCCCGAAUACGUCCCUG